GUCUGACGGAGCAACGCCGCGUGAACGAUGAAGGCUUUCGGGUCGUAAAGUUCUGUUGUCAGGGAAGAACAAGUAUCGGAGUAACUGCCGGUACCUUGACGGUACCUGACCAGAAAGCCACGGCUAACUACGUGCCAGCAGCCGCGGUAAUACGUAGGUGGCAAGCGUUGUCCGGAAUUAUUGGGCGUAAAGCGCGCGCAGGCGGUUCCUUAAGUCUGAUGUGAAAGCCCCCGGCUCAACCGGGGAGGGUCAUUGGAAACUGGGGAACUUGAGUGCAGAAGAGGAGAGCGGAAUUCCACGUGUAGCGGUGAAAUGCGUAGAGAUGUGGAGGAACACCAGUGGCGAAGGCGGCUCUCUGGUCUGUAACUGACGCUGAGGCGCGAAAGCGUGGGGAGCGAACAGGAUUAGAUACCCUGGUAGUCCACGCCGUAAACGAUGAGUGCUAAGUGUUAGAGGGUUUCCGCCCUUUAGUGCUGCAGCAAACGCAUUAAGCACUCCGCCUGGG
rnacentral:rRNA from 1 species